GGGAGGGACAGACUCAUAGCUCCUUCUGUCUGUGUCACUGUGUCACCCUGCAGGGGGAGGGACAGACUCAUAGCUCCUUCUGUCUGUGUCACCGUGUCACCCUGCAGGGGGAAGGACAGAUUCAUAGCUCCUUCUGUCUGUGUUACUGUGUCACCCUGCAGGGGGAGGGACAGACUCAUAGCUCCUUCUGUCUGUGUCACUGUGUCACCCUGCAGGGGGAGGGACAGACUCAUAGCUCCUUCUGUCUGUGUCACCGUGUCACCCUGCAGGGGGAGGGACAGACUCAUAGCUCCUUCUGUCUGUGUCACUGUGUCACCCUGCAGGGGGAGGGACAGACUCAUAGCUCCUUCUGUC